rnacentral:misc_RNA from 1 species
GUCCCAGAAGGACUAUCCCAUUUGGCAGGGAGCUCCGUAUGCCUCGUUAAAAGAUAUGGCUCCGUCUGACCAAUUUCAGAAUCUUUAGCUGGAACUUUCUUCAAACACUUGAAGAACUCCUCCACCUUCUUCUCUGCCACAUCUUUCACCGACCCCUUAUUAUCCUUCUCUGGUUUCCCCUCAUCAAAGAAAACCAACCCUUUGUCAUUCAUGCCAUUGGGGACCUCCCCUUUCGUCUCGGGCUUAACCCCCACUACCUUUU